UUAACUAAACUUCGCUCCCUUACGGGAUACUCAACUUCAGUAUAAGAUUGCCUUACCAAAAUAAUUUGGUUUGACACAACAGUUUAUGCUCAAUAAACAAUAUCAUAUGGAUAAACAUUUCAUAUCUUAGUUAUGCUGGAACUAUAGCAAUAACUUUUCAAUAAUAAGGUAAUUUAAUUGUAGGUGUAUUAUAUCAACAGCAUAUCAAG
rnacentral:lncRNA from 1 species